rnacentral:rRNA from 1 species
UACGGGAGGCAGCAGUGGGGAAUAUUGCACAAUGGGCGAAAGCCUGAUGCAGCUAUGCCGCGUGUAUGAAGAAGGCCUUAGGGUUGUAAAGUACUUUCAUCGGGGAGGAAAAAAACAAAACUAAUAAUUUUAUUUCUUGACGUUACCCGAAAAAGAAGCACCGGCUAACUCCGUGCCAGCAGCCGCGGUAAUACGGAGGGUGCUAGCGUUAAUCAGAAUUACUGGGCGUAAAGAGCACGUAGGUGGUUUUUUUAAAGUCAGAUGUGAAAUCCCUGGGCUUAACCUGGAACUGCAUUUUGAAACUGAAAUACUAGAGUAUCGUAGAGGGAGGUAGAAUUCUAGGUGUAGCGGUGAAAUGCGUAGAUAUCUGGAGGAAUACCUGUGGCGAAAGCGGCCUCCUAAACGAAUACUGACACUGAGGUGCGAAAGCGUGGGGAGCAAACAGGGAUUAGAUACC